rnacentral:rRNA from 1 species
CAGUAGCCACGGGAAUACGAAGGGUGCAAGCGCUAAUCGGAAUUACUGGGCGUAAAGCGUGCGUAGGCGGUGAAUUAAGUCUGCUGUGAAAUCCCCGGGCUCAACCUGGGAAUGGCAGUGGAUACUGGCUCGCUAGAGUGUGUCAGAGGAUGGUGGAAUUCCCGGUGUAGCGGUGAAAUGCGUAGAGAUCGGGAGGAACAUCAGUGGCGAAGGCGGCCAUCUGGGACAACACUGACGCUGAGGCACGAAAGCGUGGGGAGCAAACAGGAUUAGAUACCCGCGUAGUCCCUGUCUCUUAUAC